ACAGUACAAACUGAGCAGGCGAUAAACCCGAAAUGGGUUUAUGGGGCUGGGCCUCGCGGCAACAGGUUGAUCAGAACCUGUGGGACAGUA
rnacentral:ncRNA from 2 species